rnacentral:tRNA from 1 species
GCUGAAGUGGCGGAAUUGGUAGACGCGCUACGUUCAGGGCGUAGUAUUCGCAAGGAUGUAGGGGUUCGAGUCCCCUCUUCAGCACUA